GCUUCACUACUGGUGGCAGUCAGACAAGUUUCAACUGCUAAAGAAUUCUCAGAGUACUGGUAACUAUAAUGCUUAGGAAUCUACAGGUUAUUGCAAGAAAAGAAUGCAAAAUAGCAGCAGCAUUGAAAUAAAAGAAAUGCAUCUCAACCAAAGAUCUGCCUCACAGCAUAGAUCAGGAGAAGCCAAGAACUAGCUCUUACUGUCCUCCAUCUGCAGGACCACAGCGGACACACUUUUUCUCUCAAAUCAGAACCACCAAGAUAGGCACAGAACACCCUGGAACCAGGGAACCUAGUGUAGGCACAUUCUUGUGAAGUAACCGGCCCCAGUGGCAGAGCCCUCUGGAAGUCUCACUUAGACCAGGUGUAAACCAUCAUCUCACUGUUAUCAAUAAACGAUGCUCACAAGCUGGUACAAACUACCAGACACUGCCCUUUGGCCCCUCGGUUGAAAAGCAACACUAUUAAUCAGUACAACUCACACCUUGACUAGGAGUCAAUACUGUCUUGGCACAUCUCUCACUUCAGCAAAACAGCUCAGACCAAUUCCAGGCACGCUGGGAUCAACCCUCAGACCAUAGCUUUUCUUAAAUAAAACUGUGCAACGAAAACACUGACUGAAACUCUGGAUACACGUGCAUGGCUUACCUCUGACUCUUGGUGAACAAGCAUUUUCAUCGGGGAACACCAAACGGAAAUUUUGGAAACUUCAUUAUCCGAGGCAACUCAGACUCUCUAGGAAAGGUUAUGAUCCGCGAGAAGCCGGAAGUCAGAUAACUACCCAUCGGGAAACCUCUCGCGGGACAGCAAGGCCUGCCGCGAGAUGUCGUCGGCCGCCGCUCUGCGCUCGUCCUGCUGGAAACCUGGCCGCGGGAACUCACAGCCCUGUCGUUUUCGUGCGCUUUCCGUCCUACAUCUGGAAUGGAGUGACUGCUGUGGCAAUUCCUGGAGAAGAUUUUUUAAUUGUUGCUUUUGACAGUUUGGUGAAGGAUUUUCAAUUCACAUCUGGCCCCAAAUGUUAUAAAUUAACAGACAAAACAAACAUUGGAUGCGGCGGUUUUCAUGGAGCCUGAGGCUGACAAGCGUUAUUGAAGCAAGACUAAAGAUGUAUACGCAUUCCAGUAUUAAGGCGUGACUAAGGGGGCUGUUGCUGUGAUGCCGUCUACAAUCCUCUCUCCGAGGUGCUUCUUUCCAUACUGUUUGCAACAUCUUCAGGGUGAAGAAGUAAAGGGAGUCAUGUACAGCUUGGACGGUGUCAGGGUAGGGUGUCUGUUGGUUCACGGUCCUGGGAUUUCCCAGGUGAAAUUCAAAACUGGCCUGUGUCCAUGGAGAGCAAGGAGAGACUGAAGACGGAGGCAGACCACUCCAAAUUGAAAGCACCUGCAGAUCUUCAUGACUGUCCCUGUUGUCAAAGAUAGCAUUAUUGGGAGUAAGGAAAUUGUGCAGUCAUCAGCAAAUAGUGAGUUUCUAUUUAUAGAAGUGGCCAAGAAAAAGCUGGCUGUCUGAGAUGUUGGAGAGAGACAGUUUGCAGCCCCUGAGAGGUCGGAAUAGAGGAACCCUAAGGUAUCGAUCAGGAAGGCAACCAAACAGUGGUUAUGGGCCAGCAAAGACUGGAGAAUCCUCUCACAGAAUGAAUGCACAAGGCAGCACAAGGCAAUUCACAGAAAAUAAGCAUAAGAAAAUAGAACCACCACCAUCAUCAAGACAAAAAUUCUGAGAUUCCAUUAUCAAGAAGUAAUCGCCAUGCUGAAGUCUAGUAGGAAAGACUACUUAUUGCUUUCACUGGGAUUUGCCAUUGAACCAGCAAACAAGAACUGAAAAAGCUUGGCGGAAAGGAGAAAUAGACCACUUAUUUUCUGAACAGGAAACACACGGCAAGAAAGCAGCCCAUGAAGCAGAGCCACUGUGAGUGCCUUAUACAGCUCAUCGGUGCACACAGAUCUGGCCUCUAAUGAAGCCAUUUACAUGCAGAUGCAGGCCUGGGUGUGUGGACACCAGUCCCAACUCUGGGAAUUGUUGUUUCAUCUAAUCAAAAGAAAUUUGCACAUGAAAGCCACAUCCGUGUUCAUUAACCCCACAGCUCUCUCAAUAUUGCUUCUGUAUUAUUCCUAACAAAAUUGCAAACCUUCAUAUGAUUAGGUACCCCACUUCAGAGCUUUAUUUUCCUCCCACCCCUAACUCCGGCCUGCAUCUGAAUGUAAAACUGAAUGUGGGUCUGUAAGACUGAAGAAUUUGUAAAUCCGCUUACUGAAAAGUAAGCCCAGUCACCUUUUUCACAUUGAUUGGCCUACGUAGACACAUGCUUACUCUUUUCCCCAACCAAGGAGAACUCCAUGCUUACAAUCUUAUCAUCACUAGAAGUAUAAAUAUGCUCUUCAGGAUGGGAAUCCCAAGAGAAUAAGUUUAAUUGCCAACUUUAUUUUCAUGUGUAAAUAAGAUAAAAGUCACAGAUGCGUUUGGUGGCAAGUGUUACUCACACAUUGCAUUGAAACACGAAGGCCAUAACAAAAGUAUUUGCAGCAAGUCCUAAAAGUAAACGUCAUGGCUAUCAGUUGAUACGGGUCCAUCACACACUUAAUAAGAAUUACCUCUCCUGUCAAUCGUGUGGAUGUUAAUCGUAUAGAAUGUGCCAGUGAUCCAGCGCCAUGACUUUGUGUCAUAGUGGACAAAGAGGAUGCAUAAUAUUCGUACCAAUUCUUAUUAUCGAAGAUGAUCCUGAG
rnacentral:lncRNA from 1 species